rnacentral:rRNA from 1 species
UACGUAGGGUGCAAGCGUUGUCCGGAAUUAUUGGGCGUAAAGGGCUCGUAGGCGGUCUGUCGCGUCUGCUGUGAAAACUCAGGGCUUAACCCUGAGCUUGCAGUGGGUACGGGCAGACUAGAGUGUGGUAGGGGAGACUGGAAUUCCUGGUGUAGCGGUGAAAUGCGCAGAUAUCAGGAGGAACACCGAUGGCGAAGGCAGGUCUCUGGGCCACUACUGAC